rnacentral:rRNA from 1 species
GACGAACGCUGGCGGCGUGCCUAAUACAUGCAAGUAGAACGCUGAAGGAGGAGCUUGCUUCUCUGGAUGUGUUGCGCGCGGGUGAGUAACGCGUAGGUAACCUGCCUGGUAGCGGGGGAUAUCUAUUGGAAACGAUAGCUAAUAUCGCAUAAUAUUGACUAUUGCAUGAUAGUCAGUUGAAAGGUGCAACUGCACCACUACCUGAUGGACCUGCGUUGUAUUAGUUAGUUGGUGGGGUAACGGCCCACCACGGCGACGAUACAUAGCCGACCUGAGAGGGUGAUCGGCCACCCUGGGACUGGGACACGGCCCAGACUCCUACGGGAGGCAGCAGUAAGGAAUUUUCGGCAAUGGACGGAAGUCUGACCGAGCAACGCCGCGUGAGUGAAGAAGGGUUUCGGAUCGUAAAGCUCUGUUGUAAGAGAAGAACGAGUGUGAGAGUGGAAAGCUCACACUGUGACGGUAUCUUACCAGAAAGGGACGGCUAACUACGUG